CCUACGGGAGGCAGCAGUGAGGAAUAUUGGUCAAUGGCCGGAAGGCUGAACCAGCCAUGCCGCGUGAAGGUCAGUGCCCUAUGGGCGUUAAACUUCUUUUGUGCGGGAGCAAUAAUGGUCACGUGUGGCCAGACGAGAGUACCGUACGAAUAAGCAUCGGCUAACUCCGUGCCAGCAGCCGCGGUAAUACGGGGGAUGCAAGCGUUAUCCGGAGUUAUUGGGUUUAAAGGGUGCGUAGGCUGUGAGGUAAGUCAGCGGUUAAAUGCCCACGCUCAACGGGGUGAAGUGCCAUUGAUACUGCCUUGCUGGAAUGCGGAUGCCGUAGGAGGAAUGUGUGGUGUAGCGGUGAAAUGCAUAGAUAUCACACAGAACACCGAUUGCGAAGGCAUCUCACGAAUCCGCGAUUGACGCUGAUGCACGAAAGCGUGGGUAUCAAACAGGAUUAGAUACCCCGGUAGUC
rnacentral:rRNA from 1 species